CCCUUAGAUGUUCUGGGCCGCACGCGCGCUACACUGAUGCAUUCAACGAGUUUCUUCCUGGUCCGAGAGGAAUGGGUAACCUUUUGAAAGUGCAUCGUGAUAGGGAUAGACUAUUGCAAUUAUUGGUCUUCAACGAGGAAUUCCUAGUAAGUAUGUGUCAUCAUCACGCACUGAUUACGUCCCUGCCCUUUGUACACACCGCCCGUCGCUCCUACCGAUUGAGUGAGCCGAUGAAACUGCCGGAUGUGGACUAUUCAUAGUCUGCAGAAGAUAUUUGAAUCGUAGCGCUUAGAGGAAGGAGAAGUCGUAACA
rnacentral:rRNA from 1 species